CUUAUCCAAAGAUGUUCUGAGGGCAGAAAGGAAAAUGAUUGGUUUACAGAUUCAACCAAUGAAAUUGAAGCAGAGGCGGGGUCAGGAAAUUUGGACGUGUGGAGGGAAUACUUCAGACAGAAACGUUAUUAAUGCUUCGUGGGAGGCAUUUGCUGCAAGAAAAACUUCUUGGAAAAAGCAUAAGUCGUCACUGGUCCAUACUUGGAGAAAGGGAAUCUCUGGACUUUCUUUAUGCUGUGCAGUGAGAUGGUCAGUGAUGUAGUGUUCCUUGCAUGGAAGUUUCCUGCACAAAAGAAAGUGGUCCAGAAAAUAUAUGAAAAUGAGGAUGUUCAUGAUUCAAUAUCCCAAACUAAAGCCUUUAAGAAGACCUUACAAACAUUUCUGGAGACUUUGAGAGACCGGUUUUGAGAAGAUAUUUGGCAAAGCAACCUAUGACCUUGGGCUUGGUUUAAAGGGAGCCUGUUCAAAUUUGUUGACUCAUGUCUGAAAUAAAAAUAAAAAAUAAAAAAAUAAAAAACUUAAAAACCUCUAGGAAUGAUGAUAUCCACUAGUUAAGACUACAGCAGUUUAAUGAUACAUCUUGCUGAACUUUUUUGUUGUGAAACGUUCCUGUGUUUUAUACAUGCAUUUAAUUCACUGGAUUUGUUUGUAAUUUGUAAUUGUAUA